CAACAAAUUAAAAAAUGGCAACAAAUUAAAAAUCAUUGACGGAAAGGGAUUGUCUGAAAUACCGGAAGUGGCACAACGAUUAGGCUUACUCCAUAUUUGUAGCUCAGAAAAGUGAUUCUGGAUGUCAACAAACCUCGACAAACUCACUCCUCACACCGUUUCCUUAUUACCCUGACAUGGAGAAACGCAAAAUGUUUUGCCCGUUUUGCGGCGUUGGCUUCAGCCUCUUCACCCCAUUUUGUGCUUCCUGCGGACGGUCUCUGGAGCUUUUGCGGGACACAGACCAGGCUGAAGGAUCAGACUCCCCAGGGACAUCAAAACAAACAGAAAAUUCUGAACAAAAACAAACAUGUCCGUCAUACAAGCAGUUCAUGGAGUACAGAAAAUCAAAAUCCAAAGAGCGCCAGGCCUUCAGCUGUGGAGCAAAAUUAAAACUCAAGCAACAGAGUAAACCUGUCAAGAUCAAUAUAGGAAUAAUGGUGUCACAACAAACGGACUUAAAACCGCUAAGAGGGAAAACACUGCCCUUAUUUAUUAGCCCCGAAAUUACAGCUCCUGACCUCCUGAAGCAGGCUGUAGAAAAAAUGAGAACAUUCCACAGGGACUUGGUGGAGGGACCAUAUGUCCUUUUGUAUCCCGACUGCACAGAGGUGAUAAAUGUGCCUGGGACAGAAAGGCCAUUCCGAUUGGCAGACUACAAAGUGGAAAUAGGAAAGAACUACAACAGGAUUUCUCUUUUCAUUUGUCCAGAGAGCCACUUCAAACAAGCUUUGAUUGCAGAGGAUGGUACCUCAGACUCAGACCCUGAGAUUGUGAUUACAUCAAGAAGCACAGCUGAGUUCAACCAGGCAGACACAUUGGUUUUCAAACCACAAGACCAGAGUACCCCUAAUGGUAAACAUGCAGAGACGGAACAUGCUCCAGGACCUUCAUCUACCAUACAGCCAUUUCCGAUUGUAAUAUCUGAUACAGAGGAUCUUGGUCACCAAAACGAAACAAAUCCAGUCAGGAGUCCCUAUAGUAAAUAUGCAGACCUGUGUGCCCCCUGCAUUGAGGACGAGGACGAAGAGCUGGUUGAAGUUGCUUCACCGAUUGAUUACAAAGCACUGGAAGACGUUAACAUUACUCUACCUGACAUCAUUGCAAACUUAUCCAGUGCCAUUCAUCAUGGAAGUGUCAGCAGAUUCAACAUCUCAAGAGCAAAUGUCUGGGAUGGAGCAGUCAGGGGUUUCAGGCGGUUGUCAUACUCUGAAACCAAUGACAUGCUGGUUAAUUUACCGAUGAUGCUGGCAUUCUAGAAGAAGGACUUGAUGCAGGUGGCCCAAAACGAGAGUUUUUGAGUCUGCUAAUGAAACACAUGAAAGAUUGUCCCAUUUUUGAUGCACCAGAAGGACAUCGAUUCCUCGUCUACAAUGCAAAGGCUGUAAGGGAGGAUGAAUACUACCUAGCAGGAAAGAUGAUAGCUGUGUCAGUUGUGCAUGGUGAUCCAGGGCCCCAUUUCCUGUCAGAAGAGCUGGUACAUUAUCUUGCAGGCCAGACUUCAGUAAAAGCAACAGUUGCCUCAGUCACAGAUGGAGACAUAGGGAAAGCUUUACAAGAGAUCGACAGUGCUGGUUCAGUGGAUGUCCUGCGUGACUGUGUCAUAAAACACAGUACUAUGCUACAGGUGGCUGAUUGUCUAAGGCACGUUUCCACAGUUGAGGAAAAGAAAGACAUUGUGUCUGACUAUCUCCGGUGGUAUAUAAUUGCUCGAAACUCAUCUGUAAUUGACAGAUUUAAAGGGGGUCUUUCAGCACUUAAUUUCCUGAGUGCACUCCAGCAACACCCUACUUUGCUUUCUCCGGUCCUGUGUCACAUGGAAAAGAAACUCACAGCUCUUGAACUUGAGAGACUUUUCAAACCUGACUUCAGCCAAUCUGGAAGUAACAGGAGACAUCUGGAGAGUCAAACUGUGGGCUACUGGUCAGACUAUCUGCUUGACUGUGAAGAAUCACAAACUGCUGUGUCGGUGGGCGAUGUUCUGAUGUUUGCAACUGGGCUAACAUCAUUGCCCCCUUCUGGAUUAGAUCCACUACCAAGCCUACAGUUCCUGGAUGACUCUUUAUUCCCGAUGGCAAAUACAUGCUUAAUCUUAUUGAAACUACCAAUGAUAACCUCAUAUUCCGUGUUUAAAUCCAACAUGGAUUUUGGAAUUCAAAACUCCCCAGGAUUUGGAUGUUUCUAGGAUGUCUGGCCUUGCAGUUCAAACCUGCUGUUUGAGUUGUUUCUCAAGUUUUUAAGUCAAGAUUUUUUUUUAAAGAUGUUAUGAAUAGGAUAAGAUGGGACAUGCUAGUGGUACAGCACAAAUCCAUUAUAGUUUACCAGGUUUAUUGUAGUUUUAUUAGAUAACCCAGUCACUUACAGCUGCUUCUUCUUGGCAUUACAUUGUAAAUUCUGUAGGUUUUUUGCUA